rnacentral:rRNA from 1 species
UACGGAGGAUGCAAGCGUUAUCCGGAAUGAUUGGGCGUAAAGCGUCCGCAGGUGGCUAUGUAAGUCUGCUGUUAAAGAGUCUAGCUCAACUAGAUAAGAGCAGUGGAAACUACAAGGCUAGAGUACGUUCGGGGCAGAGGGAAUUCCUGGUGUAGCGGUGAAAUGCGUAGAUAUCAGGAAGAACACCGGUGGCGAAAGCGCUCUGCUAGGCCGCAACUGACACUGAGGGACGAAAGCUAGGGGAGCGAAUGGG